rnacentral:rRNA from 1 species
UACGGAGGGGACUAGCGUUGUUCGGAAUUACUGGGCGUAAAGCGCACGUAGGCGGAUUUGUAAGUCAGGGGUGAAAUCCCGAGGCUCAACCUCGGAACUGCCUUUGAUACUGCAAAUCUCGAGUCCGGAAGAGGUGAGUGGAAUUCCUAGUGUAGAGGUGAAAUUCGUAGAUAUUAGGAAGAACACCAGUGGCGAAGGCGGCUCACUGGUCCGGUACUGACGCUCAGGUGCGAAAGCGUGGGGAGCAAACAGG